ensembl:lncRNA
GCGCCGUGCACACCCUGUGCUCCGGGCGAGGGCGAGGGCCAGUGAGGGCCAAACUGCAACUCCCCCGGAGCCCAGCCUCCCUCCCGGAAAGCAAGUGCCCGCGUGUCGCUCAGGCGAGGGGAGCCAAUGUGUGCCUCGGAGGAGGUCUGCUCUGAGCCCCACGCACGCUGGUGCUGAUGGUUCUUACCAGCUGUGUGUCUGUGCAAGGAAAAGCCAGAGACGCUGCCUGCCUGCUCCCUCUCUCUUCUGCUCUCUCCCUCCCUUUGCAAACAUUGGAUUUAAACCUGCUCAGAAUUCAGCACAGAGGAAGGCGGCCGCGGCGGCAGCAGCAGCAGCAGCGGGAGCGAGCCCAGCCGCCGAGACACCGCAGCCUCAAGAUGCACCACCCUGCCUGGUGGGCCGUCUUCUCGGUGACAGUCGCCCUGCUCUUCAUCCCAGGAUGACCUCAGCAGUCCAGCCUGACACGGAGCUGGUGCCUUUGGGUAUGUGGGGGCUGAAUGCUGAAUGUUCAGGAAUUCUGCCGGCCAGGUUAAAGCACCGGCAACAUCAGACUGGCCCUGGUGGGAGUAUUCGCCUCGCAGAAACCAGCAAACAGUGCAUGUAAGAGACUUCUUUCUUUCUUCUUCCUCUUUUUUUUUUCAGAGAGCUAGUUUACCAGCCUAUUACCGGGGGCAGGUGCUAGUUAAUAGAAUUUACCCAGAGGAAUUUGUCAUAACAAAUGUAUAGAGAAGAACUGAAGCAUGCAUGAUAAUAAUACGAGAACCCUAGAGCCAGAGGUAAACGGUGCAUAUACAGUCAGCUCACAUUUGACAGGAAUUCUCAGUGGAGAAGAGACAGUCUUCAGUAAGUGGUGCUGAGAAAACGGAGUAAACACACGUAAGGGAAUGAACGCAGACCCCUGUCUCACAUGACCCGUGCAGAUUAACUCAAAAUGGGUUAAAGGCUCAAGUCUGAGACCUGACGCCGUGAGACCCCUUGAAGGACUUGUGGGAACAGAGCUCUCUGGCGUAGGUCUUGGCGAUGAUUUUUUUGUAUACGACACCUAAACCACAAACAAAAGCAAAAGCAAACAGGUGGGACCACAUCACAGAGGGAGGCUCUGCACAGCAGAAGAAACGACCCGCAGAGUGAAGGCAGCCUGCAGAAUGGGCAGGCUGUUCACGAAUCACGUCCCUGAUAAGGGCUUAAUAUUCAAAACAUGCAAAGAACUGACGCAACUCAAUAGCGAAAAGCCCCAAAAUAGUCCAAUUGAGAAGUGGGCAAAGGAUCUGGACUGACGUUUUUUCCGAAGAAGAUGUAUGCAUGGCCCACAGGUUGAUGAGAAGGUGAUCAGCAUCACGGACUCUUCGGGAAAAUGCAACUCAAACCACAGUGAGGCACCGCCUCGCGCCUGUCAGAAUGGCCAGCACCAGGAGGACGUGAGAGAACAUGUGUCGGCGAGGAUGUGGAGAAGGGAAACCUGUGCGCGCUCGGUGGGAAUGUAAGUGGGUGCAGCCACUAUGGAAAACAGUGUGGAGACUCCUCAAAAAAUUAAAAAUAGAACCACCAUGUGAUCCAACAGUUCGGCUUCUGGGAAUGUGUUCAAAGGAAACAAAAGCUGUAUGUUGAAGAGAUGCCUGCACCCCCCGUUCCCUGCAGCAUCAUUUACAAUAGUCCACACGUGGGAACAAGCUGAGCACUGACAAGUAGGGAGGUAAAGAAGUUGUUAUAAAGAAUUCUACAUACACGUUAAUUUACUUAUAUGGUGUGUGUGUGUAUAUAAAUAAUUCAGCCACAGAAAAGGGAAUCCUGCCAUUUGCAACAACAUGGAUGGACUUUGAAGUUACUACGCUAAGGGAACUAGUCAGACAGGGAAACACAAAUGCUGUAUGCUCUUACUUACAUGUAGAAGCUAAAAAGGUAGCCCCACAAACUCGCAGAGAAAGAGAUCAGACUUGUGGUUACCGAGGCAGAGAGCAGGGGGAAGAGGAGUUGGAUGGAGACGGCCAAAAGGAACAGACUUCCAGUUGUGAGAUAAGGCAGCGCCGGAGACGUGCUGCUGACGCGGUGGCUGUGUGGUGUGCUUGAACACGGUUCAGACAGCGGAUUCCAAGGGCUGUCACCAUCAUCUCCUGAGAUGACGGGUGUUGACGAAACUCGUGGUCAUCACGUCACAACAGAUUUGAGUCAAGGCGUUACGCCGUGCACUUGAAGCUCACACAGCGCCGUGCGUUGACUUUAUCUCCAUAAAGUGGGG